GCGUAUUCUUAAGUGAUUAGCACGCAUUUUAAGUUGUUAUUGCUUGAGAAUACACGU
rnacentral:pre_miRNA from 1 species